UACGUAGGUGGCAAGCGUUAUCCGGAAUUACUGGGUGUAAAGGGCGCGCAGGCGGCCCUGCAAGUCGGAUGUGAAAGAUCAAGGCUCAACCUUGACAGGCCAUUCGAAACUGUGGGACUUGAGUGUCAGAGGGGAAAGUGGAAUUCCUAGUGGAGCGGUAAAAUGCGCAGAUAUUAGGAGGAACACCGGUGGCGAAGGCGGCUUACUGGACGAUUACUGACGUUGAGGCUCGAAAGCGUGGGGAGCAAACAGGAUUAGAUACCCUGGUAGU
rnacentral:rRNA from 1 species